GACGAACGCUGGCGGCGUGCUUAAUACAUGCAAGUCGAGCGAGGUUACUGGAGUGGAGCCCUUCGGGGUGAAGCUGCUUUAACCUAGCGGCGGACGGGUGAGUAACGCGUGGGUAACCUACCCCAAAGCCCGGGAUAACAGCGGGAAACCGCUGCUAAUACCGGAUGACUUUACCUUGGGGCAUCUUGAGGUAAAGAAAGGUUAACGCUUUGGGAUGGGCCCGCGUCCCAUUAGCUAGUUGGUGAGGUAACGGCUCACCAAGGCGACGAUGGGUAGCCGGCCUGAGAGGGUGGACGGCCACACUGGGACUGAGACACGGCCCAGACUCCUACGGGAGGCAGCAGUAGGGAAUAUUGCGCAAUGGACGGAAGUCUGACGCAGCGACGCCGCGUGAGCGAUGAAGGCCUUCGGGUCGUAAGCUCAGUCAUUGGGAUGAAAGGACAGUACCCAAAGAGGAAGCCCGGCUAACUACGUG
rnacentral:rRNA from 1 species